rnacentral:misc_RNA from 1 species
GAUGAAGAACGUAGCGAAAUGCGAUAAGUAAUGCGAAUUGCAGAAUUUCCGUGAGUCAUCGAAUCUUUGAACGCACAUUGCGCCCACUGGUAUUCCGGUGGGCAUGCCUGUUCGAGCGUCAUUAUCCUCUCUCAAACCCCGGGUUUGGUGUUGGACCCAAGUUGUGUGAACAACUGGUCUCAAAGACAAUGACGGCGUCCGUGGGACCCUCGGUGCAACGAGCUUUUAGGAGCACGCAUCGAGUUGCAAGGACCUUCCGGGCCGGUCUCCUUUACCAUUUUACAAGGUUGACCUCGGAUCAGGUAGGAAUACCCGCUGAACUUAAGCAUAUCAAUAAGCGGAGGA